GUGCGCCUUUUUUUUUUUUUCCUUCUUAGUCGUGUGUACAUCAUUGGGAAUGGAGGGAAAUAAAUGACUGGAUGGUCGCUGCUUUUUAAGUUUCAAAUUGACAUUCCAGACAAGCGGUGCCUGAGCCCGUGCCUGUCUUCAGAUCUUCACAGCACAGUUCCUGGGAAGGUGGAGCCACCAGCCUCUCCUUGAAUAACUGGGAGAUGAAACAGGAAGCUCUAUGACACACUUGAUCGAAUAUGACAGACACCGAAAAUCACGACUCAGCCCCCUCCAGCACCUCUACCUGUUGCCCGCCGAUCACAGCCGGAAUGCAGCUGAAAGAUUCCCUGGGGCCUGGUUCCAACCGCCCACUGUGGACUCUGAGGCCUCUGCAUUUGCGGGUGGUCUGCCUGUGAUAUUUUGGUCAUGGGCUGGUCUGGUCGGUUUCCCAUUUGUCUGGCCAGUCUCUAUGUGUCUUAAUCCCUUGUCCUUCAUUAAAAGCAAAACUAAAGAA
rnacentral:lncRNA from 1 species